GUUAAUAAGUUCUGCAAUUGAUUUGUAUGUCCUAUAAUUAAGUGAUCAAUGAUAGUAAUUUGUGUUCCCAGUAUGUUUUUGUUGAAUUGGGUGUCCUGCAACUAAUUUUUAUUUGAUAGGUUGUCAUCUCCUCUUUGUAAUUGAGUUAUGCCCUUGAUUGUUAUUUGGAGGACAAAGAAAGCAUUUUUAUUUUUUGUGUGGAUACAUGAACCGAAAAUACUAUUGGUGAGAAAGUGAUGUCUUUAGAGUUCUGCAGAACGUAUAAUUUCUGCAAUUGAUUUGCAUGUCCUGUAAGUGUUCUGCAAUUGAUCAUGUCCUGUAAGUGAUUGAUAGAUGAUGGUAAUUUGUGUUCCUAGUAGGCUAGUACGUUCUUGUUGAAUUGGGUAUCCUGCAACUGAUUUUAAUAUGAUGGGUUUUAAUCUCUUCUUUGUAAUUGAGUUAUGCACUUGAUUGUUAUUUGCAGGACAAAGAAAGCAUUUUCAUUUUUUUGUGUGGAUAUAUGAACCGAAAUUACAAUUGGUGAGAAAGUGAUGUCUUUAGACGAUGCAGAACGUAUAAGUUAUGCAGAAGUAUAAAUUCUGCAAUUGAUUUUCAUGUCCUGUAAGUGUUCUGCAAUUGUUUUGCAUGUCCUGUAAGUGUUCUGCAAUUGAUUUGCAUGUUUAUUUUUUUGUGGCUAUAUGACUCGAUAUUGCUAUUUGUGAGAAAGUGAUGUCUGUAGACGAUGCAGAAUGUAUGGUUACAUUAUGUGAAGCAUGUGUUGCAGGAUACUAUUAAAAUCCCUGGCUUGUCUUGGUUGUGUGUAUGCUUGAAUUAGCGGACAACUUUUAGAAUGUUAUAGAAUCUGUAUAAAACUUACGUUUGGCAUAAGUCAAAUAUAAAAAAGAGAAUAGCGAUUUGGUAGGACAUUUAGAUAUGAGACAUGUCUGGUUAGUUGUAGACAGUAGUGAAUAUCUAGUAUUAUUCAUACAUGUGUUUUUAUGUGAAUUAUGAAAAUGUAAUUGACUGAGAACUCUUCGUAAUGAGGCACUUGGAAUCUUACAUGGGAAUGCAGCAUCGUGGAAGAGUGGCCUUCGUCCUGAGAUGGAAAAUCAAAGCAGUGUCCUCCACAAGCUCAGAGUAAUAUAUGCACAAUGCUCACAUGGUCUGAGAACAAAAGAAGAUGGACCGUGCUUAAAAAGAUGGUGCAGUUUAGAACAAAAAAAUUGUGUGAAUAAUUCUGUAAUCAAUCAUGUUAUUGAUCCCACGUUCAUUGGUUCUUUUAGAACAAGUUGAUAUUUGAGUUGUUUGGAUUGAAUGGAAUGAUUUUAUUUAUUUCUAAACUCUUGUAAGGUUGACAAUGUCAAUGGUUUAGCAGGAUUUAUAUUAAUUAGUAGAAGGCUGUGUUGUUUCUGUGA